UACAGAGGGUGCGAGCGUUGUCCGGAAUCACUGGGCGUGAAGGGCGCGUAGGCGGCCUGAUAAGUAGGGGGUGAAAUCUUGCGGCUCAACCGCAAGGCUGCCUUCUAAACUGUCAGGCUGGAGCACGGUAGAGGCAGAUGGAAUUCCCGGUGUAGCGGUGGAAUGCGUAGAGAUCGGGAAGAACACCAGUGGCGAAGGCGGUCUGCUGGGCCGUUGCUGACGCUGAGGCGCGACAGCGUGGGGAGCAAACAGG
rnacentral:rRNA from 1 species